AGAGUUUGAUCCUGGCUCAGGACGAACGCUGGCGGCGUGCUUAACACAUGCAAGUCGAACGAUGAAGCGGUGCUUGCACCGUGGAUUAGUGGCGAACGGGUGAGUAAUACGUGAGUGACCUACCUUUGACUCUGGGAUAAGCCUGGGAAACUGGGUCUAAUACCGGAUACGACCAAUCUCCGCAUGGGGUGUUGGUGGAAAGCGUUAUGGAGUGGUUUUAGAUGGGCUCACGGCCUAUCAGCUUGUUGGUGAGGUAAUGGCUUACCAAGGCGACGACGGGUAGCCGGCCUGAGAGGGUGACCGGCCACACUGGGACUGAGACACGGCCCAGACUCCUACGGGAGGCAGCAGUGGGGAAUAUUGCACAAUGGGCGCAAGCCUGAUGCAGCGACGCCGCGUGAGGGAUGACGGCCUUCGGGUUGUAAACCUCUGUUAGCAUCGAAGAAGCGAAAGUGACGGUAGGUGCAGAGAAAGCGCCGGCUAACUACGUGCCAGCAGCCGCGGUAAUACGUAGGGCGCGAGCGUUGUCCGGAAUUAUUGGGCGUAAAGAGCUUGUAGGCGGUUGGUCGCGUCUGCUGUGAAAGGCUGGGGCUUAACCCUGGUUUUGCAGUGGGUACGGGCUAACUAGAGUGCAGUAGGGGAGACUGGAAUUCCUGGUGUAGCGGUGGAAUGCGCAGAUAUCAGGAGGAACACCGAUGGCGAAGGCAGGUCUCUGGGCAGUAACUGACGCUGAGGAGCGAAAGCAUGGGGAGCGAACAGGAUUAGAUACCCUGGUAGUCCAUGCCGUAAACGUUGGGCACUAGGUGUGGGGGACAUUCCACGUUUUCCGCGCCGUAGCUAACGCAUUAAGUGCCCCGCCUGGGGAGUACGGCCGCAAGGCUAAAACUCAAAGGAAUUGACGGGGGCCCGCACAAGCGGCGGAGCAUGCGGAUUAAUUCGAUGCAACGCGAAGAACCUUACCAAGGCUUGACAU
rnacentral:rRNA from 1 species